rnacentral:lncRNA from 1 species
GAUGAUGAAUCAGGGAGGCUGUGUCCUCUGCUCUCUGGCCCUCCACCGUUCAUUCUCCUGUGUAAGUGCCAGUGUGUGUUUCUUUCUCCAGCCUCACGCUCUAAACAAGAUGCCUCUGGCAGAGGCCCGGGUAGAUGGAGUCUCUCAAGUCCAGUACAACUUCAUUGUCCCUGACUUAUGAAGCGUGAGGUUUCCGCCAUCUCCUAUGACGAGGAGUCUCAGUCCCCAUACGUAGAGGGAACAUUUCUGUCUGACCCUAGCAAGGAGUCAGGAGACAUGCACAAUGCUGGUCUGACUUGCAC